UACGUAGGGCGCAAGCGUUGUCCGGAUUUAUUGGGCGUAAAGAGCUCGUAGGCGGUCUGUCGCGUCGGAUGUGAAAACCCGGAACUCAACUCCGGGCCUGCAUUCGAUACGGGCAGACGUUGAGUACUGCAGGGGGAGACUGGAAUUCCUGGUGUAGCGGUGGAAUGCGCAGAUAUCAGGAGGAACACCGGUGGCGAAGGCGGGUCUCUGGGCAGAAACUGACGCUGGAGGAGCGAAAGCGUGGGGAGCGAACAGG
rnacentral:rRNA from 1 species